UAAUAUAGUGCCUGAAAAAAAGGGUAGUUUUGAUAGAACUAAUCAUGUAUAAUAUUUUACCUAUAUUAA
rnacentral:tRNA from 1 species